GAUGAACGCUGGCGGCGUGCCUAAUACAUGCAAGUCGAGCGAAUGGGUUAAGAGCUUGCUCUUAUGAAGUUAGCGGCGGACGGGUGAGUAACACGUGGGUAACCUGCCCAUAAGACUGGGAUAACUUCGGGAAACCGGGGCUAAUACCGGAUAACAUUUUGAACCGCAUGGUUCGAAAUUGAAAGGCGGCUUCGGCUGUCACUUAUGGAUGGACCCACGUCGCAUUAGCUAGUUGGGGAGGUAACGGCUCACCAAGGCAACGAUGCGUAGCCGACCUGAGAGGGUGAUCGGCCACACUGGGACUGGGACACGGCCCAGACUCCUACGGGAGGCAGCAGUAGGGAAUCUUCCGCAAUGGACGAAAGUCUGACGGAGCAACGCCGCGUGAGUGAUGAAGGCUUUCGGGUCGUAAAACUCUGUUGUUAGGGAAGAACAAGUGCUAGUUGAAUAAGCUGGCACCUUGACGGUACCUAACCAGAAAGCCACGGCUAACUACGUGCCAGCAGCCGCCGUAA
rnacentral:rRNA from 1 species